ACAUAUGCAACUAGAGAUACAGCUCUGGGAGGCAGUGGUUAGUUCACAUCGUUGUUCCUCCCAUAGGGUUGCAGAUUCCUUUAGCUCCUUGGGUACUUUCUCUAGCUCCUUCAUUAGGGGCCCUGUGUUUCAUCCAAUAGAUGACUGUGAGUAUCCACUUCUGUAUUUGCCAGGCAUUGGCGUAGAUUUACAAGAGAGAACAUUGUCAAGGUCCUGUAAGCAAAAUCUUGCUGGCAUAUGCAAUAGUGUCUGGGUUUGGUGGUUGUAUAUGGGAUGAAUCCCCAGGUGGUACAUAGUUCAAAAACACAUGUUGUACAUCCUAAAUGUAUAGUCAUCCCUUGGUAUCUGCAGGGAAUUUGUUCCAGAGAUAAACAAGGAUGUUUGAGUAUGCAUAAUGUAUGCAUAAAACCUCCACACAGCCUCUUAUAUUCUAACUCAUUUCUGAACAACCUAUGAUACCUAGUGCAAUGUAGUCCUAUGUAAUUAGUUGCCAAAGGAGAUUGUUUGGAGAAUAACACCAAACAAAAAAGUCCAUAUACACUCUACAUAGAUAUACCCCAUCCCAAAUAUUUUAGACUGCAAGUUGGUUGAAUCCAUAUCUAUGGAUCCUGCUGACACAGAGGGCCAACUGUUCACAUUUUUGUCAACUUAGAAAAAAAGUUGAAAAAAUUUUAUGCACAAAGUCAAUAUGUAUAAAAGCCAAAAAUUAAAACAACAUUAAUAUACAUAUCGAAGAUGCUAUUUCCUAUAUCUACAUAUAAAACUUGACAUUUUAAUGUCUCCCCAAUAUCAUGUGACUUACCUGCUUAUCAAAAGCAACCCAGGAUGGUGCAUCGGUUCCAUCUCCUUUGGGAAAUACACUGUGUUUAGGCUUUAUCUUUUGGCCAUAUAGCAGAUCUCCACCUACUCCAGGCUUAUUCUCACUCACCAGCAUCCUGACAUUGUUGCAAAAGCCCCAAUGUUGAGAUUUAUGGAACCUCUCCUUUCCUAUCUGUGGGUACAAAAGACAAUAAUAGUAAAUAAAAAUGGCCAAAGUUACUCUUUUUUAUUUUUCUUACAAUAAAGACUUUUCCAACAUAAAUAGAUUGUCCCAUUUGUUUUUCCCAUCAUAAAAUGUAUGUGAAGAGUCAAGUAACUGUGGGCAAUCUCUAUCCAUAAAGUUGUGCCACAUUUUAUAUUCAGUUUAUUUUAAUUAAUUUAAAACUUUGAGAAGCAGAAAGAAUAAAGCUAAUAUUCCAUGCUAUUUGCAAUAUUUCAGAAUGAUUACUGCAAGUGAAGAUUUUGAACACCGGCUUGCUAAUUGGACUACUUUACUCAUUUGCAAAGAAUACAAAACAGAAAAAAAAAAAACUUAAUUACUUCAGAGAAGAAAGCCACUGCUUUUCACAGAAGCCUAACUAAAAAUUACAUUUACCAAAACAGAAAACAAAAUCUUGUCCUCAUCAACAUUAAUAUAAAGGGAAAUUCUUCACAGCUGACAUUCUCUUAAUUAUGAAACCUUGCCUUCCACUAGUUUUUAGUGAUUUGGACAGAGAGGAGGCACAAGUAAUGCCAAGAGUUGAAAAAGAUGAAUCGGGGAUUGGAGGAUGAGGUAAAUCAGGCAAAGAAGAGAUAGGAAGAUAUUCCCAGCAAGACCAUGAGAAGUACACUUCUGAGUGUGAAGAGCAAUAGAUAGCAGUUCUGAGUGUGAGGACAAAUAGACAGGAAUAGGAAUAGAUGGGAAAGUCUAGUCAAAAAAGAAGUCAAGUUCAAGCUUGAAAGGAAGGUUCACUGGAAUAGAAUAUCUAAAAAGGUCCAUAAUGUGGAAAGUCAUAUAUUGAAAUACCUUGAUAGUCUCUUUCAGCAAGCUUCCAGAAUAGUCAAUGAACCAGGCCAUAUUCUUGAUAAUAUAUUAUAAAGAUUAAGUCAUAGUCAACCUCCAUCCCCUAAAGAGUUCUCCUAAUGGUUCAUACAAGUCUGCAUGUAUCCUGGUUUCCACAAUCUAAAAGCCCUUGAUUGUUAGAAGGCUUCACUUGUUGACUUGACCCAUAUAACUUCAUAAAGUAUCCACAUGUAUCCUCCCCUUUGGUCAGAUAAUUUUCUCAGUUUGCACCUUGAGGCCCAUUCAGUAAUAUCCCUGGACAGGUUCCACAUAAAGCUCACUUUCCUCAAGAAUCAAGUAAUGCCCUACCGCAUUGUCAUCUUUCCUAUAAAUAUCAUAUGAGAACUC
rnacentral:lncRNA from 1 species